rnacentral:rRNA from 1 species
UGGGGAAUCUUGCACAAUGGGCGAAAGCCUGAUGCAGCAACGCCGCGUGCGGGAAGAAGGCCCUCGGGUUGUAAACCGCUUUCAGAAGGAACGAAACUGACGGUACUUUCAGAAGAAGGUGCGGCCAACUACGUGCCAGCAGCCGCGGUGACACGUAGGCACCAAGCGUUGUUCGGAAUUACUGGGCGUAAAGGGCGCGUAGGCGGCCUACUAAGUCAGACGUGAAAUCCCCCGGCUUAACCUGGGAACUGCGUCUGAUACUGGAAGGCUUGAGUAUGGGAGAGGGAUGUAGAAUUCCAGGUGUAGCGGUGAAAUGCGUAGAUAUCUGGAGGAAUACCGGUGGCGAAGGUGGCAUCCUGGACCAUUACUGACGCUGAGGCGCGAAAGCUAGGGGAGCAAACGGGAUUAGAUACCCAGGUAGUCCCUGAGCGGGCUGGCAAGGCGCAU